rnacentral:rRNA from 1 species
CCCUUAGAUGUUCUGGGCCGCACGCGUGCUACACUGAGUGGAUCAGCGGGUCAGGUUACGCGAGAGCGUUUCCUAAUCUUCAAAUCCGCUCGUGAUGGGGAUUGACGGUUGCAAUUUUCCGUCAUGAACGAGGAAUACCUUGUAAGCGCGGGUCAUCAUCCCGCGCUGAAUACGUCCCUGCCCUUUGUACACACCGCCCGUCGCUCCUACCGAUUGAGUGGUCCGGUGAGGCUUUGGGAUCUAAGCGGAAAGAGCGUUUCGCUGUUUCUGCUCGGAAAACUCAGUCGAACCUUAUCAUUUAGAGGAAGGAGAAGUCGUAACA